rnacentral:lncRNA from 1 species
AUAAAAAUAAUGCAUUGUAUGCCGGAAGGGAUAAAUCUGGGGCUGAGUACAAGCAAAACAAGACCAAAGGAAGCUACCUGAGCAGGUAUUCCAGAUACUCAUGUCAUACACCAAGGUUGUACCAGUGCCCCUUUCUCUGUGACACAUCCAUCCACUGGAAACUUUCGUACAACUAGCUGAAAGAAGAGAAACAUCCUAUUUCAUGGACAAUAGAUUAUAUUGGAUGUAGAUGAAGUUUGGGCAGAAUCAGGGAUCAAUGGCUCCAUCUAAAUUGUUGCACCAAAACACAGACAUACACCUGCUUUUAGAUUUGAAGAGUGAAUCCUCUCUGGAAAAUGUAGCAACUACUCAAAAAAGGUUGGAGGACCAACACUUCUAAGAAGCAGGAGCUGGAGGGAGGAUGGCAUUUCAAGAGGUGGCAAGUGGUCCUUCUUCACAGUCAUAUCUCUCAUUCUGCAAGCCAAAGACUCAAUCUGCAUAAUAUUCCAUGGUGUAUAUAUACCACAUUCUUUUCCCAGUCAUCAAUCACUGGACGCUUAAGUUGAGUAAUGGCUUUUUAUUGAGGGUAUUACAAAGCUCAAAUCUGAGAAAACCUUGUCUACCAUCAACCCUGACCUACAGAGGAGAGGCACCCCCAAGCUUAUUAGUGAUCCUGUCUCCGUCUUAUUGGCACAUCCUGAUGGCCUUGAUCUCUAGUUCUUCCUGUGGAGCAUAACCAUAUGGUUCUUUGCCAAGAUGUUAAGACCAAAGUCGGAGAGUGAACCCCAUGUCAAUGAAUUCUUGUUUUUCUGAUCUUACAUUCCAUCACUUUGAUCCAGUACUCUCAAAAUGCAAUCACAGUUGUACAUGUCUUCUCCUGUCAAUAAACGCU